CAUCUAAGCUUCUCUCUGGAGUGAACUUCACUAAGGCCCUAUGGGACAGAGCUCAGCUCCACACUGGGCGGGGAGGAGCCCGGGCCUCGUGACGCCAGGCCGCGGGCGGUGACGUCAUCCUCGGAGGCGAGGGCGUGCGUGCGGUGACGCGUGCCGUGACGCGAGGGCUCCGCAAGGCUGCGUGUCGUGGGCCGCGUCGCGCGCCGCGGCUCGUGCGGCUCGGCCCGGGCUGUGGCGGGAGCGGAGAUGCCGCAGCCCGUGCCCUGGAGCGCCGCUAUCCCGGCCUGCGGGUGUCGCGGAAACUGAAAAUGGCCUUUGAGCUAUGCUAGGUCUAUAAUGGGAAGCAUCACAGUUCGAUAUUUUUGUUAUGGGUGCCUUUUUACAUCUGCUACCUGGACAGUUCUGCUUUUCAUUUAUUUUAACUUCAGUGAAGUGACUCAGCCCCUUAGGAAUGUGCCCAUCAAGGGGUCUGGGCCCCACGGGCCAUUUCCCAAAAAAUUCUACCCACGUUUCACUCGAGGUCCAGGUCGGGUAUUAGAUCCACAGUUCAAAGCAAACAGAAUCGACCGUUUGAUGAAUAAUCACAUUGAAGAUCCAGAUAAAGGCCUCUCAAAAUCUUCCUCUGAACUAGGUAUGAUUUUCAAUGAACGUGAUCAGGAAUUGAGAGACCUGGGCUACCAGAAGCACGCCUUUAAUAUGCUCAUUAGUAACCGCUUGGGAUACCACAGAGACGUGCCGGACACCAGGAAUGCAGAGUGUAGGAGGAAGUCCUACCCGACUGACCUGCCAACUGCUAGCAUUGUCAUCUGUUUCUACAAUGAAGCCUUUUCUGCCUUACUGCGGACUGUGCACAGUGUUGUGGACCGCACACCGGCCCACCUUCUUCAUGAGAUCAUCCUUGUGGAUGACAGCAGUGACUUUGAUGAUUUAAAAGGAGAACUGGAUGAGUACAUCCAAAGAUACCUGCCUGCAAAAGUCAAGGUCAUAAGAAAUAUGAAGCGCGAGGGAUUGAUCCGAGGACGAAUGAUCGGAGCAGCCCACGCUACAGGAGAAGUCCUGGUGUUCCUGGACAGCCACUGUGAAGUGAAUGUGAUGUGGUUACAGCCCCUGCUGGCCAUUAUCCUUGAGGACCCACACACAGUGGUGUGCCCCGUGAUUGACAUCAUCAGUGCAGACACACUCGCUUACAGCUCAUCCCCAGUAGUUCGGGGAGGUUUCAACUGGGGGCUGCACUUCAAGUGGGAUCUAGUUCCCGUAUCUGAGCUGGGAGGCCCUGACGGCGCCACGGCCCCAAUAAGGUCACCUACAAUGGCUGGAGGCUUGUUUGCCAUGAACAGACAGUAUUUCAAUGAUCUUGGACAGUAUGACAGUGGCAUGGAUAUCUGGGGAGGAGAAAAUCUGGAAAUCUCAUUUCGGAUCUGGAUGUGUGGCGGCAAGCUCUUCAUCCUCCCUUGCUCAAGAGUAGGACACAUUUUCCGAAAAAGGCGACCGUACGGAUCUCCGGAAGGCCAGGACACCAUGACACACAACUCCCUGAGACUGGCACAUGUCUGGCUGGAUGAGUACAAGGAGCAAUAUUUUUCCUUAAGACCUGAUUUGAAGAACAAAAGCUUCGGGAAUAUCAGUGAGCGUGUUGAAUUGAGGAAGAAACUGGGCUGUCAGUCAUUCAAGUGGUAUUUGGAUAAUAUUUACCCUGAGAUGCAGAUACCUGGCCCGAAUGCCAAACCUCAGCAGCCCGUUCUCAUCAACAGAGGACCCAAGCGCCCCAGAGUCCUGCAGCGUGGAAGGGUGAGCUGGCAGUCUUGAGGGCUCCCUGGGGAGGAGGGGCAGGGAGAGAUUGGGGUGCUGUGAUAGUAGAAAUGGAAUGUUCUCUUUGGGGCCUUCUUUCUGCUUGAGUAGAAAAGCUUAGAGAUCUUAAACGUGUUUGCGGUUUUCACUAAGGGCAAGGGCCUUACUUACCUGUGCUCCCUGCCUUGGAGGGACUGAGACCUUUUGUAGGUUGUGCUGUCUUCCAAGAGCAGAGACACAAUCGGGAACACAGGCAGUGUGAGGCCCGAAGGACCCUUCCCAGGGAUAAGCAGGAAUGCAGCAGCUGUUCCUGUCGAGACUCAGCUCUUGGAGCCGACUGCAGACAGAGACUGAGGCGACAGUUCAUCAGUGUGACCUGUAGUAAGGUUUCACACCAGCACAUGGCACUCCUGAGCUCUACCACUUGCAGACCAACAAAUGCCUGGUGGCCCAGGGCCGCUCCAGCCAGAAAGGAGGCCUAGUGCUGCUUAAGACCUGUGACUACGGAGACCCAACUCAGGUCUGGAUUUAUAAUGAAGACCAUGAAUUGAUUUUAAACAACCUCCUUUGCCUUGACAUGUCAGAAACUCGCUCAUCGGAUCCACCCCGACUCAUGAAGUGCCAUGGGUCAGGAGGAUCCCAGCAGUGGACCUUUGGGAAGAACAACCGGCUGUACCAAGUGUCCGUUGGGCAGUGCCUGAGAGUUAUGGACCUGAUGGAUCAGAAGGGCUACGUUGGCAUGGCGAUCUGCGAUGGCUCCUCCUCUCAACAGUGGCGUCUAGAAGGUUAAAGGUGGGCCCUGGCUGGACACAACAUAAUUCACCUGGUUUUGUCAUGCCUGCCAUAAAUCAAGGUGCUUUAAGGUUGCUGACUGCAGCAGACAAGAACCUUGGUGGAGGGCGACCAUCUCAGGAGCGCCACUGGGAUUUGGGUUUACUUCCGAGCUGCUGUUAAGGGAUUCUUGUUUAUCCAGGGAAAACAGAAAAUAAUUCUAAAGAGUUGGGUCUACAGAGUAUAAACCCAGGAAGUAGGCAUUUGUAUUCAUAUUUAUGUUUUUCGCAUUCUCCCUUGGAGAUGGAAUUGUUUCUGUCCAAUCAGGAACUUGUCACAAUUUCCUUUCAUAGAGGACUUCAUAAGAGAUUUUUUUCUAUUUCUAUCAUGCCUAAUGUUCCAAAUAGAUUUUAAAAACUGGUUGAGUGCAUAUUACUUUUAGCUUCAGAAGAUAUCAUGUAUAUUUAAGAGGCAUUUAACUAUUAUAAAUUAUUUUGAUGACUUAAUAUUGUCUGUCUACAUUAAAUAAAGGAUCUUUUUGAUCAUUUAACUAGGA